AACGACGCUGGCGGCAGGCUUAACACAUGCAAGUCGAGCGCCCCGCAAGGGGAGCGGCAGACGGGUGAGUAACGCGUGGGAAUCUACCUAGCUCUACGGAAUAACCCAGGGAAACUUGGACUAAUACCGUAUACGCCCCUCGGGGGAAAGACUUUAUCGGAGUUGGAUGAGCCCGCGUUGGAUUAGCUAGUUGGUGGGGUAAUGGCCUACCAAGGCGACGAUCCAUAGCUGGUCUGAGAGGAUGAUCAGCCACACUGGGACUGAGACACGGCCCAGACUCCUACGGGAGGCAGCAGUGGGGAAUAUUGGACAAUGGGCGAAAGCCUGAUCCAGCCAUGCCGCGUGAGUGAUGAAGGCCCUAGGGUUGUAAAGCUCUUUCACCGGUGAAGAUAAUGACGGUAACCGGAGAAGAAGCCCCGGCUAACUUCGUG
rnacentral:rRNA from 1 species